GUCGGGACGUACCACGGGCGGUAGUAGUCAGUUGUCAGGACGUACCACGGGCGAUAGUAGUCAGAUGUCGGGACGUACCGCGGGCGGUAGUAGUCAGAUGUCGGGACGUACCACGGGGGACGUACCGCAGGCGGUAGUAGUCAGAUGUCGGGACGUACCGCGGGCGGUAGUAGUCAGAUGUCGGGACGUACCGCGGGCGAUAGUAGUCAGAUGUCGGGACGUACCGCGGGCGAUAGUGGUCAGAUGUC